rnacentral:tRNA from 1 species
UGUCUUGUAGUAUAACUAACCAAUAUUACUGUAAACUGCAACUUUACCAAAGCAUUAGCCAAGACAU